AGAGGGAAGAGAAAAUCUAAUAGAGGGAAGAAGAUGAAGAGAAUAAUGAUUUUUUCUUUAGACAUGCACGCAUGGUAGAAAGCAUGUUUUCUGCAUCUUCCUUCUUCUCUUAUGUUUUCUCUUCUUUCUCGCA
rnacentral:pre_miRNA from 1 species